rnacentral:lncRNA from 1 species
CACUUUCCACAAGAAGUUAAGGGCCUUUGUAGAUUUUUUUGUCAACAUGCCUUCUUCUUCCUCUAAGUACUUAAGCUUUCUAUAAUAGGAUUGUACUGUGAAUUCUUUACUUGUGCAACAUGUCUAACCAAAGGCAUCUUUCUUUGCAUUGUUUGGUGUUACCUUUUAGAUAAUAGCCAACUAGUCAAGAUAAGAUUCUUUA